AAUCAUCAACCUCCCCGGUUUGCGCUGGGUUCUCGGUUGGAGUUGGGGGCCUUUGCUGCCGAAAGGCGGCUCCCCUUGAAUGUGUCGGUUGGGUUCCUUAGGCUUUUGCGUCGAAAUGGGGCGUUGUAUCAUCCUCGCUCUCGCUAGACUGCGGCUUAGGUAUUGUUCCCUUCCUAGACUUAGCCUCUGGAGUGGCGGUCAAACAAAUCGAA
rnacentral:misc_RNA from 1 species